GACGAACGCUGGCGGCGUGCUUAACACAUGCAAGUCGAACGGAAAGGCCCUGCUUGCAGGGUACUCGAGUGGCGAACGGGUGAGUAACACGUGGGUGAUCUGCCCUGCACUUCGGGAUAAGCCUGGGAAACUGGGUCUAAUACCGGAUAGGAGCCAUUUUUAGUGUGAUGGUUGGAAAGUUUUUUCGGUGUAGGAUGAGCUCGCGGCCUAUCAGCUUGUUGGUGGGGUAAUGGCCUACCAAGGCGGCGACGGGUAGCCGGCCUGUGAGGGUGGACGGCCACAUUGGGACUGAGAUACGGCCCAGACGCCGACGGGUGGCAGCAGUGGGGAAUAUUGCACAAUGGGCGCAAGCCGGAUGCAGCGACGCCGCGUGGGGGAUGACGGCCUUCGGGUUGUAAACUCCUUUCGCUAGGGACGAAGCUUUUUGUGACGGUACCUAGAUAAGAAGCACCGGCUAACUACGUG
rnacentral:rRNA from 1 species